CCUACGGGUGGCAGCAGUGGGGGAUAUUGCACAAUGGGGGGAACCCUGAUGCAGCGACGCCGCGUGGGUGAAGGAGCGUUUCGGCGCGUAAAGCCCUAUCGGCAGGGAAGAAGAUGACGGUACCUGACCAAGAAGCCCCGGCUAACUACGUGCCAGCAGCCGCGGUAAUACGUAGGGGGCAAGCGUUAUCCGGAUUUACUGGGUGUAAAGGGCGUGCAGCCGGAGAGACAAGUCAGAUGUGAAAUCCACGGGCUCAACCCGUGAACUGCAUUUGAAACUGUUUCCCUUGAGUGUCGGAGAGGUAAUCGGAAUUCCUUGUGUAGCGGUGAAAUGCGUAGAUAUAAGGAAGAACACCAGUGGCGAAGGCGGAUUACUGGACGAUAACUGACGGUGAGGCGCGAAAGCGUGGGGAGCAAACAGGAUUAGAUACCCCUGUAGUC
rnacentral:rRNA from 1 species